CGUAGGAGGCAAGCGUUAUCCGGAUUUACUGGGUGUAAAGGGAGCGUAGACGGCAUGGCAAGCCAGAUGUGAAAGCCCGGGGCUCAACCCCGGGACUGCAUUUGGAACUGUCAGGCUAGAGUGUCGGAGAGGAAAGCGGAAUUCCUAGUGUAGCGGUGAAAUGCGUAGAUAUUAGGAGGAACACCAGUGGCGAAGGCGGCUUUCUGGACGAUGACUGACGUUGAGGCUCGAAAGCGUGGGGGAGCAAACAGGAUU
rnacentral:rRNA from 1 species